GAUGAACGCUGGCGGCGUGCCUAAUACAUGCAAGUCGAGCGAACGGACGAGAAGCUUGCUUCUCUGAUGUUAGCGGCGGACGGGUGAGUAACACGUGGAUAACCUACCUAUAAGACUGGGAUAACUUCGGGAAACCGGAGCUAAUACCGGAUAAUAUUUUGAACCGCAUGGUUCAAUAGUGAAAGACGGUCUUGCUGUCACUUAUAGAUGGAUCCGCGCUGCAUUAGCUAGUUGGUAAGGUAACGGCUUACCAAGGCAACGAUGCAUAGCCGACCUGAGAGGGUGAUCGGCCACACUGGAACUGAGACACGGUCCAGACUCCUACGGGAGGCAGCAGUAGGGAAUCUUCCGCAAUGGGCGAAAGCCUGACGGAGCAACGCCGCGUGAGUGAUGAAGGUCUUCGGAUCGUAAAACUCUGUUAUUAGGGAAGAACAUAUGUGUAAGUAACUGUGCACAUCUAGACGGUACCUAAUCAGAAAGCCACGGCUAACUACGUG
rnacentral:rRNA from 1 species